UCUUAUCUUCUUGCAGACAGGAACAGGGGGUUCUCCCAGCCGCAUGGAAGGGCGCCGUCUCAGGGGAUGCUCCGGCCGCUGGUGGACAAUCCAGGUGAGUUCACUCCCAAAUUCAUUCUGAUCCGUGCGUUUCUUGGUUCUUCAUUGACGUCGGAGUUGGAUUUCCUGGUUUCUGUUGCAGCCGGUACAUCGGCGCAGCCAUCAGGGACGACGGCGAAUGCAGCCGGCGACGGCAUUGCGGGGAUUUCGCAGGCUCUUGCGGGGCUUACGACGGCGACUACAGGCUCCGCCGGCGGCUCUUCCCAGUUCGGUGGAGGUGGGUGCCCAAGAAAUCAAAGCAUACGAGUUUGGGUUGAUCAUGUCGUUUCUUGGAUUGUAACAUCCCAUUGCUUCGUUUCUUAUCUUCUUGCAGACAGGAACAGGGGGUUCUCCCAGCCGCAUGGAAGGGCGCCGUCUCAGGGGAUGCUCCGGCCGCUGGUGGACAAUCCAGGUGAGUUCACUCCCAAAUUCAUUCUGAUCCGUGCGGUUCUUGGUUCUUCAUUGACGUCGGAGUUGGAUUUCCUGGUUUCUGUUGCAGCCGGUGCGCGUCCGCCCUUCCCGUACCUGUACCACGCGCCGACCGGCAAUGGUUUCUUCAACGCCCAGAACCAGAUCGCCGGCCACUUGCAGACGGGAACAGGGCAGCAGCAGAUGCCAUCUCAGGGGAUGCUCCGGCCGCCGCCAGGCAAUCCAGGUGAGUUCCCUCCCAAGAAAAGCGCCAAAUUCUUUCUGAUCCGCGCGGUUCUUGGUUCUUGAUUGACGCCGGAGUUGGAUUUCAUGGUUCUUCAUUGACGCCGGAGUUGGAUUUCCAUGUUUCUGUUGCAGCCGGUGGGCGUCCGCCCUACCCGUACCAGAACCACGCGCCGACCGGCAAUGGUUCGCUCUCCGGCCAGACNN
rnacentral:lncRNA from 1 species